UUUCCAUCUUUGUUUCGCAGUCGUUCUCACAGCUUAAAUCCUUUUUGCCUCAAAAAUUCCUACUUCGGGUCAUCGCAAAUUUUUGUGUUGUUGCUUUCAGUCAGUGUUUUGUGAAAUUCUGCAACCUGCGAUUGCUCGGAAAAUACAAAAUCAAUGUAAGGUUUUUAUUUGCACCUUGCGAAGACAUCUGUGUUUAAGCGUGUGGGUUGCUUGGAGACCACCGGGUUAUGCUUUUGUUCACUUGGAUCACAGUAGAGAUGCAGAGGAUGCAAUUGGUGAAUUAGAUGAUUCAAUGGAAACAGUUAAGGUCACCCCUAUUGCAGAAUUGCGUCUUUACACUAAAGCGGAGAAAAUAAAGAUUUGUGUCUGUAGGAUAUGAAAAUCUAGCAUUUCUGCAACUGUUCGUAAAUACGUAACACUAUAGUGUAUCUUGGUUGAUGAAACGGCAUGUGAUCAAUUAUGAAGAAUAAUGCGGUUGAAGCAUCUGCAUCAGACAUCGAUUGUGAAUUGGUAGCCUCAAAGAUUGACGCUGGUAGUUGUUACGAAAUUAUGAAUUUUCGCACAAUCAAAAUCAAAGGACAGUAUAAAGUGGUGCCGCAUGAAACCCAUGUUAUAUUCACUGGUACAAAAAUGUUUAAAAACUGUCUACCAUCUUUCCACCUAUCCCUCGACAUCGGUUUUCCUACUAGAUUUCAACAUGCUCUAUCCUCGUCUGAACAGAGAUGAUAUUCUUACAAGUAACAUCAAUAUGUGUAUAUUUGUCUAUAUAUGUGUGUGUGUGUGUGUGUGUGUGUGUGUGUAUCUACAUGUCCAUCAAUUAAAAACAUUUAUGUUGUUUUUUCACUGAAAUGAGUUUUGACAUUAUUUUUGUAUUAACUUUUUAAAUUGUAAGAUGUGGUUGGCCAUAUAAUUGCAGUCCAGCAAUUGGAAUCAAAACAGAUUAAUCAAAGAAUAGCGUAGAAGUGUGAUAUACGCAUUGAGAAUAUCGUAUUGUUCUUUUCUUUAACUGUUGCAAUUCCAAUUUGUUAAUAUCAUUUUCUCUGUUAGGUUAGGAAGAAAAUUUAGUGUCUCAUUUGUUUUGUGCACAAAAAAGAAGAAUUGUCUGUUACAUUGUGGGCAGAUAUUGCAGACGCUUUUUGUUCUUUAUUGAUCCAGAACUUGUCUUUGCCGAUUAUUGUUGUAUUUACAAGUUUAAAAGUCAAGAUUUACCUAGGUAGCUCAUUUAACUAAAACCCACUUUUUCUAUCUUUAUUUGGAUAUGUUCUUACAUUUCUUGCUAUAAACUAUUCCACUCUUUUAUCAUUAUGGAAUUUUACUGUAUUUGAUUGCUACUCUUUAUGUGUCACAACCCAUCCCGGAAUUUAUUUAUCGUGGAUGUGAAAUGACAGAAUUACCCUCAUCGGUUACUAAGGUACAUGUGACAUGCUAUUUGAAUAAAUGCAUACUCUCCUAAUUUCUUGGAAAAUAAAUUAUGGGGAUUGAAAUUGUAUGUAAUUGUGUGGUUAGGGACUUAGGAGGACAUCCACACACAUAAAGCAAACCUCUCUCUCUCCUAUCCUGUGUCUCUCUCUUCCCUCUCAGUUCACUCUCUCUCUCUCCCUUCGAACCGUAUAGACACACUCACCAUCGAACCUCCAAACACAGAUCGAAGGUUUUGAAGGCAUCACUAUACUCGUGAGAACCCUACGAACUCACCCAUACCCA